GCUGCGUGCCCUCCUUGGGCGUUUCCUCCCUAGACUUGGCUGCGCUUCGGCGCAGCCUUUUUUCUUGGGACA
rnacentral:sRNA from 1 species